AUGGAUACAGUCAGAGGCCCCAGAGAGAGUCUGGUCCAAACUGCCCACUUUCCAGAUGACAAAACUGAGGUUGAGAGAGAAGUAGUCCGUCCAAGCUCGCACAGUGAUUGGAAUCCCGAUGGACACGCCCCAGGCUCCUGGCCCCAGCUGCCCGUGUCCGGAGGACGACAUCCUGUACCCGACUCACAGCAGAAGCUUCUUGAGAGGGAGAAGGGAGGGUGAGGACACACCGUGAGAUUCAGCUGAAACCAUCUGCCCAUCCCUGAUGGAAAGAUGCCACUCACCCACUUAGCAGGGGGACCCCACAAGCACCUGAGCAAGUGACACCUCUGCACUCCAAAUGCCUGCGUGCUGUCGCCGUUAUGGAGGCUUUAUGUACCCAGGAGGGUGCUCCGAUCUCUGGACAUCAUGCCACCGCAGGACACACUGGCCUGAGAAUAACAGGUGGCUGGGGCUUCCGAAGCCCCGUGCUCACCAGUGAGAGGAGAGGAGACUGACAGAGCUGGGCUGCCCUCUUCAAAUGCCAGAGGCUGCCUCGCGGGACAUGUGGGCACCUCCUCGUCCCUGCUCCAGAGCCGGGCUGAGUGGAAGUCGAAGGACGCCAGCAGAAUGUCUCAGACCGCCUGCUGCCCGUGGAGAGACAGCCUCCCGCGAGGCAGGGACUCCGUCAUGCACAGGCCCGCAGAGGAAGCAGGGGUCCAUGCACCAGGGAGAGGUACACUGAG